GCCCUUUCCGGAUUGCAGCUGGAGAGUUUCCAGUCCUCUACCAGUAUUGACUACGGAAGGGAGAGUCAAGCAGAGGCCUACCCAUUCCAUUCUUAGCUUGGCGAGUGGCUAGCGAGUGGAAGGCAAUUUGCUACAAGU
rfam:Ornithorhynchus anatinus chromosome 4, whole genome shotgun sequence.